CCUACGGGAGGCAGCAGUGGGGAAUUUUGGACAAUGGACGCAAGUCUGAUCCAGCCAUGCCGCGUGCGGGAAGAAGGCCUUCGGGUUGUAAACCGCUUUUGUCAGGGAAGAAACGGGUUUCUCUAAUACAGAGACCUAAUGACGGUACCUGAAGAAUAAGCACCGGCUAACUACGUGCCAGCAGCCGCGGUAAUACGUAGGGUGCAAGCGUUAAUCGGAAUUACUGGGCGUAAAGCGUGCGCAGGCGGUUAUGCAAGACAGAGGUGAAAUCCCCGGGCUCAACCUGGGAACUGCCUUUGUGACUGCAUAGCUAGAGUACGGUAGAGGGGGAUGGAAUUCCGCGUGUAGCAGUGAAAUGCGUAGAUAUGCGGAGGAACACCGAUGGCGAAGGCAAUCCCCUGGACCUGUACUGACGCUCAUGCACGAAAGCGUGGGGAGCAAACAGGAUUAGAUACCCUGGUAGUCCACGCCCUAAACCGAUGUCAACUGGUUGUUGGGAGGGUUUCGUUCUCAGUAACGAAGCUAACGCGUGAAGUUGACCGCCUGGGGAGUACGGCCGCAAGGUUGAAACGUCAAGGAAUUGACGGCUGAGACGNGCGAGACGACGACGAGGGAGAGG
rnacentral:rRNA from 1 species